UGCAUGUUCCUGUGUCUCAGUGUGUUCAACACAGCAGUCUGCAGUCCUGCUGGAACGCCCGCGACCCGUACUGCGGCUGGUGUGGAGCUCUGAGACGAUGCAGCUUUGAGGACGAGUGUCCAUCUUCUCUGUGGCUGUCCGUCCCAGAUGACCUCAGCCAGCGGCGGAUACUCUCCCACAGCUUCCAGGAAGACGCAGAAGGAAAGAUCAGGCUGGUGGUCUUCACCCACCUGAAGAGAGGUGGAGCUCCUGCUAACUUCUCCUGCCGAUUCGACUCAAGCGUCGGAGUACUAGGAGGACUAGGGCAUCGAUACCCAGAAUGCACCUGCCUGCUGCCUCCUGUGAUUGGUCAGUAAUCUACCCUCUCACAGUAUGAAAAACACAGGUACAACAUAAAUUAUGCGUCCCAUCGAAUUAGGGUUGUGAUGCAUGACUUCAUUUUUAUGUUACUUUAUCACCAACUUCUGAAAAUGUGCUGUGCGACUUCCAGGGGCCUACUUUAAAU